rnacentral:rRNA from 1 species
GAUGAACGCUGGCGGCGUGCCUAAUACAUGCAAGUCGAGCGAACAGACGAGGAGCUUGCUCCUCUGACGUUAGCGGCGGACGGGUGAGUAACACGUGGAUAACCUACCUAUAAGACUGGGAUAACUUCGGGAAACCGGAGCUAAUACCGGAUAAUAUAUUGAACCGCAUGGUUCAAUAGUGAAAGACGGUUUUGCUGUCACUUAUAGAUGGAUCCGCGCCGCAUUAGCUAGUUGGUAAGGUAACGGCUUACCAAGGCGACGGUGCGUAGCCGACCUGAGAGGGUGAUCGGCCACACUGGAACUGAGACACGGUCCAGACUCCUACGGGAGGCAGCAGUAGGGAAUCUUCCGCAAUGGGCGAAAGCCUGACGGAGCAACGCCGCGUGAGUGAUGAAGGUCUUCGGAUCGUAAAACUCUGUUAUUAGGGAAGAACAAAUGUGUAAGUAACUAUGCACGUCUUGACGGUACCUAAUCAGAAAGCCACGGCUAACUACGUG